rnacentral:tRNA from 2 species
GGGGGUUUAGCUCAGCUGGGAGAGCACCUGCUUUGCAAGCAGGAGGUCAUCGGUUCGAUCCCGUUAACCUCCAU